rnacentral:lncRNA from 1 species
GGCAAUGACAUAUACAGAUAUUGAUUUACCUUUAGUUUUCUUGGUUUUUUUCCUUGGAGGAAUCACCAUAAGAAACUCGGAAAGCUAUUAUGAGCUAGUCAAUAAUGGGUUAAAUUAUAACAUACUUUUCCCAAUAGAAUCCCAUAACUGCAUACUUUAAUUUUUUAUAUAUUUUAUAUAUCGGAUAAUUUAACUACAAUAUUAUAAUCCUGAAGGACAUCCUGCUAAACCACUUUUGCAAUACUGAUAAAUAAGACUUUUUUCAGAGGCACAUUCACAAUUUUGAAAUAUUUAUUGAAGGGUAGUUUC